rnacentral:rRNA from 1 species
UACGGAGGGGGCAAGCGUUAUCCGGAUUCACUGGGUUUAAAGGGUGCGUAGGUGGGCAGGUAAGUCAGUGGUGAAAUCUCCGGGCUUAACUCGGAAACUGCCAUUGAUACUAUCUUUCUUGAAUACCGUGGAGGUCAGCGGAAUAUGUCAUGUAGCGGUGAAAUGCUUAGAUAUGACAUAGAACACCAAUUGCGAAGGCAGCUGGCUACACGAAUAUUGACACUGAUGCACGAAAGCGUGGGGAGCAAACAGG